UACGAAGGGUGCAAGCGUUACUCGGAAUUACUGGGCGUAAAGCGUGCGUAGGCGGUUCGUUAAGUCCGAUGUGAAAGCCCUGGGCUCAACCUGGGAACUGCAUUGGAAACUGGCGGGCUGGAGUGCGGUAGAGGGUGGCGGAAUUCCCGGUGUAGCAGUGAAAUGCGUAGAUAUCGGGAGGAACACCCGUGGCGAAGGCGGCCACCUGGACCAGCACUGACGCUGAGGCACGAAAGCGUGGGGAGCAAACAGG
rnacentral:rRNA from 1 species